GACAGAGGGUGCAAACGUUGCUCGGAAUUACUGGGCGUAAAGCGCGUGUAGGUGGAUUGGUGUGUCAGAUGUGAAAGCCCUGGCUCAACCCAGGAAUUGCACCUGAAACUACCAGUCUUGAGUGGUGGAGAGGGAAGUGGAAUUCCUGGUGUAGAGGUGAAAAUUCGUAGAUAUCAGGAGGAACACCAGUGGCGAAGGCGGCUCCUGGACACCACAGACGUGAGACGCGAAGCGUGGGAGCAAACA
rnacentral:rRNA from 1 species